rnacentral:rRNA from 1 species
UGUGGCUGGGGGUGAAAGGCCAAUCAAACCGGGAGAUAGCUGGUUCUCCCCGAAAGCUAUUUAGGUAGCGCCUCGUGAAUUCAUCUCCGGGGGUAGAGCACUGUUUCGGCAAGGGGGUCAUCCCGACUUACCAACCCGAUGCAAACUGCGAAUACCGGAGAAUGUUAUCACGGGAGACACACGGCGGGUGCUAACGUCCGUCGUGAAGAGGGAAACAACCCAGACCGCCAGCUAAGGUCCCAAAGUCAUGGUUAAGUGGGAAACGAUGUGGGAAGGCCCAGACAGCCAGGAUGUUGGCUUAGAAGCAGCCAUCAUUUAAAGAAAGCGUAAUAGCUCACUGGUCGAGUCGGCCUGCGCGGAAGAUGUAACGGGGCUAAACCAUGCACCGAAGCUGCGGCAGCGACACUAUGUGUUGUUGGGUAGGGGAGCGUUCUGUAAGCCUGUGAAGGUGUACUGUGAGGUAUGCUGGAGGUAUCAGAAGUGCGAAUGCUGACAUAAGUAACGAUAAAGCGGGUGAAAAGCCCGCUCGCCGGAAGACCAAGGGUUCCUGUCCAACGUUAAUCGGGGCAGGGUGAGUCGACCCCUAAGGCGAGGCCGAAAGGCGUAGUCGAUGGGAAACAGGUUAAUAUUCCUGUACUUGGUGUUACUGCGAAGGGGGGACGGAGAAGGCUAUGUUGGCCGGGCGACGGUUGUCCCGGUUUAAGCGUGUAGGCUGGUUUUCCAGGCAAAUCCGGAAAAUCAAGGCUGAGGCGUGAUGACGAGGCACUACGGUGCUGAAGCGACAAAUGCCCUGCUUCCAGGAAAAGCCUCUAAGCAUCAGGUAACAUCAAAUCGUACCCCAAACCGACACAGGUGGUCAGGUAGAGAAUACCAAGGCGCUUGAGAGAACUCGGGUGAAGGAACUAGGCAAAAUGGUGCCGUAACUUCGGGAGAAGGCACGCUGAUAUGUAGGUGAAGCGACUUGCUCGUGGAGCUGAAAUCAGUCGAAGAUACCAGCUGGCUGCAACUGUUUAUUAAAAACACAGCACUGUGCAAACACGAAAGUGGACGUAUACGGUGUGACGCCUGCCCGGUGCCGGAAGGUUAAUUGAUGGGGUUAGCGGUAACGCGAAGCUCUUGAUCGAAGCCCCGGUAAACGGCGGCCGUAACUAUAACGGUCCUAAGGUAGCGAAAUUCCUUGUCGGGUAAGUUCCGACCUGCACGAAUGGCGUAAUGAUGGCCAGGCUGUCUCCACCCGAGACUCAGUGAAAUUGAACUCGCUGUGAAGAUGCAGUGUACCCGCGGCAAGACGGAAAGACCCCGUGAACCUUUACUAUAGCUUGACACUGAACAUUGAGCCUUGAUGUGUAGGAUAGGUGGGAGGCUUUGAAGUGUGGACGCCAGUCUGCAUGGAGCCGACCUUGAAAUACCACCCUUUAAUGUUUGAUGUUCUAACGUGGGCCCCUUACCGGGGUUGCGGACAGUGUCUGGUGGGUAGUUUGACUGGGGCGGUCUCCUCCUAAAGAGUAACGGAGGAGCACGAAGGUUGGCUAAUCCUGGUCGGACAUCAGGAGGUUAGUGCAAUGGCAUAAGCCAGCUUGACUGCGAGCGUGACGGCGCGAGCAGGUGCGAAAGCAGGUCAUAGUGAUCCGGUGGUUCUGAAUGGAAGGGCCAUCGCUCAACGGAUAAAAGGUACUCCGGGGAUAACAGGCUGAUACCGCCCAAGAGUUCAUAUCGACGGCGGUGUUUGGCAC